rnacentral:rRNA from 1 species
UUGCCUACGGGAGGCAGCAGUGAGGAAUAUUGGUCAAUGGUCGGGAGACUGAACCAGCCAAGUCGCGUGAGGGAAGACGGUCCUAUGGAUUGUAAACCUCUUUUGUCGGAGAGCAAAAGACGCCACGCGUGGCGUUCCGAGAGUACCCGAAGAAAAAGCAUCGGCUAACUCCGUGCCAGCAGCCGCGGUAAUACGGAGGAUGCGAGCGUUAUCCGGAUUUAUUGGGUUUAAAGGGUGCGCAGGCGGAAGAUCAAGUCAGCGGUAAAAUUGAGAGGCUCAACCUCUUCGAGCCGUUGAAACCGGUU